GUACACUCCUGCGGGAGGCAGCAGUGGGGAAUAUUGCACAAUGGGCGCAAGCCUGAUGCAGCCAUGCCGCGUGUAUGAAGACGGCCUUCGGGUUGUAAAGUACUUUCAGCGGGGAGGAAGGCGAUAAGGUUAAUAACCUUGUUGAUUGACGUUACCCGCAGAAGAAGCACCGGCUAACUCCGUGCCAGCAGCCGCGGUAAUACGGAGGGUGCAAGCGUUAAUCGGAAUUAUUGGGCGUAAAGCGCACGCAGGCGGUCUGUCAAGUCGGAUGUGAAAUCCCCGGGCUCAACCUGGGAACUGCAUUCGAAACUGGCAGGCUAGAGUCUUGUAGAGGGGGGUAGAAUUCCAGGUGUAGCGGUGAAAUGCGUAGAGAUCUGGAGGAAUACCGGUGGCGAAGGCGGCCCCCUGGACAAAGACUGACGCUCAGGUGCGAAAGCGUGGGGAGCAAACAGGAUUAGAUACCCGUGUAGUCCCAUGAU
rnacentral:rRNA from 1 species